rnacentral:lncRNA from 1 species
UUUUUUUUUUUUUUUGAGUCUGUAAAAAAGUUGGUACCGAUACGAAUAUACGAUCAACACCGUUUCGGAAGUCAACUAAACCCAGGAACACUUAGAUGCUUCCCACGCCGUGGAAUCAAAUUCAAAUAAGUAAUGAUUCAAUUGUGCCGAGGCGUACCAAAAUGACAUGGAGGCUUGACUAAUUUGGAUCGUGGGAGAAGAACGAUCAGAAGCUAGGCAUGGGUGCAAUCGGAAGGACUUGUACGUAAGCAUAUAUAGCAGCCGCUGCAAAUCUGCAAUGAACGGGGAGCUAAGUACCUAACCUGUUAUCGGUGUUCAUCUCGAGCUCUCCUGAAGCAGCCAUGGUCUCUAUGUCGUCGCCUGGCUUAGCCAAGUACGGAAUUGCGUCUGGAAAAUGGGGUAUCAGGAGAUAGCGAAGAGGUUUGCCUCCUACCUGAUACUAGUAGGUGUAAUAUUUGUUCUAGGUCCCUGCAAUAUUACAACGACACACUUCGCAUCCGCUAUCUGCGUCUGCGUGAAAAUUAAGCUGCAUAAAAUAAUGCAUGUUCAAUAAAAAAUAACUAUAUGAUAAGUCCGGUAAGAUUAUCAUUUUUCUUCUGCCAACUAUGUUUGACAUUGUGUAACCAUGGCAUCAUACUGCCCGAUUGAGAAAGCACCAUUUUAUCUAUUUAAUUCGAAGGAUCGAAGCAAUAGAAACUGCAGAAUAAUUUUCUUCGCUCUUAGAUUGAAAGUAAAAAAAAAAAAUUGAGUUUUUGCAAUCCAUCUAGACAUCAUUCUAGAAUUACUCCCUAAAGUAAUAUAAUAUUGUUUAAAUACUACAGAGGGAGUACUUAACAUCACGACUUUGCUUCACUUGUGUGGAUUUACUUGGAUUNNNNNNNNNNNNNNNNNNNNNNNNNNNNNNNNNNNNNNNNNNNNNNNNNNNNNNNNNNNNNNNNNNNNNNNNNNNNNNNNNNNNNNNNNNNNNNNNNNNNNNNNNNNNNNNNNNNNNNNNNNNNNNNNNNNNNNNNNNNNNNNNNNNNNNNNNNNNNNNNNNNNNNNNNNCAUUCAAAUUUGUAGACCACCCGGCGACGACUACAAGCAUUGAAGCGAGCCGAAGGCUGCCGUCAUCGCCCCUUCUUGUAGUAGAUAGUCAGGAAAUCUCCAUUUUAAGGCCCUAUAGAAUCAGCGCACCAGAACGGGCAACCGCCGUCGUGAAGAGAAGCUUAGAUCGGAAGGAUCUAACCGGUAGACACACGAACACACAUGAACAAAGACUGGAUCCACGUGGAUCCACCGAAGGCAAACACCGACCAAAUCCCGCAAAAUCCAAUGGAGUAAAAUCUCCACACGGCCACCAAUGACGCUAGAAGUACCACCUGGAUGGAGGCUAGGCGGAGAGAACCUUUUUCCAUCUUCAGAGAGCCCCCACCGUCUCAUCUCUCUGAGAAGAACACAAACCCUAAGAAAACUCAUAAAACCAUUAGAAACGAAGCUCUCCCACAUGCAAGGGCCGAGAUCCACCACGCCUCCAUGGCCCCCAAGGCCACAGGAGACGAGCCAGACCGGCGCUGGUGCCGGCAGGAGGCGGAAGGAACCCUAGCAGCGACUAGGUACGAGAGCCUCCUCAGGUUCUUCUGAUCGAACACCCACCACGUCUAUAGGAUUUAUGUGUUUUCUAAUCCUCGGUCUUGCAUAUAUGCCGGUCAUACUUCUAUAGUAUUUAUGUUAUUUAUAUGCUUUCAAAAUCCUUCGAAUCAAAGAGACAAAAGUAUCUUGUUCCUACUAUAAAUCACGAAACCUUCCAGGACCAAAUUAAUUAUCAUCUACGCUGCAACAUUCAUGUAGCAAACGAACAACACAAUGCGAACCAACAUAUGGUUUGAUGGUUAGAGGGACAGUGGUAUCCCCUGUCCACGAGGGUUCAAGCCCUGGUGCUCACAUUAUUCCUAGAUUUAUUACAGGAUUUCGGCAACGCGCUUUCAGUGGGAGAAGACGUCCCCGUCGACAACAAGGUGCAUAUGGUGACUUGAUAAAUCUAAAGAUGAUAUGCCGGCUCAGUCUCUCGAAGGUGCUUAUUGGAGUAGGGUGUGCGUGUUUAUAUUCAUAGGGAUGAGUGUAUGCGCAUAUAUGAGUGUUUGUGUCUGUACUGUGUUAAAAACAAUAUAUCUCCGUACCAUUAACAUGUACUACAUGUAGAGCCUACAAUUUCAGAAACCUCUGUGUGGCUGGUCAGAAUUUCCGACCAAAAGUAAUAGUUUGGGUACAAUUUUAAAUAAAAUAGUAACCAACAAUUAGAGAAAGAUACUUGAGAUUACCGCUCAACUCGGGUAUUUUUUUAGUUCAAUUAUUAGGAUAGGAUAUGUACACUGAUACUAUCUAGCGGCGAUUGGUUACGACUCCCUCCAUCUCAAAAUAUAAAAACGUUUUAACACUAACAUGGUGUCAAAAACGUUCUUAUAUUUUGGGACAGAGGGAGUAAUGUAUAAGAGAGAAGCACUCACCGCCGCCUCUUCCUCCUCCUAAAAAAUGCAGCUAGGGUUUCUGCCUCUCGCCGGCUCCGACGCAGGUCCGCCUCGUCUCCGGUGGCCCUAGGGCCAUCGAGGCGCGGUGGAUCUUGCCAAGGGCCGGCGGGAGGGCUUCGUUUUUAGUCGUUUCUUUCAAUUUUAUUAGGGUUUGUGUUCUGCUCAGGAAGACGAAACGGCGGCGGCUUUCUGAAGAUGGAAUAAAGGUCUCGCCGCCUAGCCCCCAUUUCAAUGGUGCGUCUAGCAUCAUUGGAGGGCGUGUGGAGGUGUGUCUCCGGCGGAUCUAUCUUUGGUGGAUUUGCUCGGAUCUCGUUGGUGUUCGUCUACGUUCGUGUGUCUUCGGAUUGGAUCCUUCUGAUCUAUGUUAUUCUUCAUCUGUGGUGAUUGCUGUUCUGGUGCGCUGGUCCUAUGGGGCCUUAGCACGACGACUUUUCGACUGACUACUACAACAAGUUGUGCCCGACUCUGACGAUGGAGGGGCGAUGACGGCGGCAUGCCUUCGGCUCGCUUUAGUGCUUGUAGUCGUCGCUAGGUGGUCUACGGAUCUAGAUGUAAUUUUUAUUAUUUUUGGUAUUCGUUGUACUGCCAUGAUUGAAGAUGAAUAGACCGGAAGAUUUCCCGCAAAAAAAAAAGAAAAAAAAGAAGCACUCACAAAAAAAAAGUGUAUAAGAGAGAAGCAAAAAAAAAGUUUGUUUAUAUUAUAGGCAUGCGAGUAUAAUAACUUCUGCUAUUUCUCUAAAUGAUAGAGAAGAAGCAAGAGAAGCAUGUUGUAUUUAUUUUAUCUUCGUCAAUACAAGCAAGCAAAGAUGGUUAAGCAACCCGGUAUGUCGAGACAACAAAGUCCUCAUCAACCGCGUGGAAACUAAUAGGACAUACUUAACGCGGUAAACUUGGGGUUUAACAUAAUUAAGCAAAAGUUUAGGAACGAUUGAGGAGAAAAUAAGCCUCGCGUGAGACGGAAGCAACCUCGUCUUGUGCAGCCUUGUGCUAAGUGCUAAGGCACUGGUCAACCAUUCCACAUCCCCCCACUUCGUCUCGAUACCGCACCUCCUGAGUUCGUUUUGCUUCCCAUGGCGGCUCUUGCCCAAGCUCCUAGCCCAGCAGAAUCCAUCGAUCCACCGACCAGGUACCAACAGCACGAUCAUCCUUUGCCGAAUUCUUUGAUCAAUUGUGUAGAUCUGCUGGCUGAUCGAUCUAUUUUACUAGUUCCAUUUUCAUCCUUAAUGGUCUAACUUGUAAUUGUUCCAGCUUCAUGAUAGUGCUUAUGCAACUGUGUCACUAAACGAAACGCAUAUGCUCAUACUCCGUAUGUGAAUACUGCUGUGAACAAAAUAACAUCAAGAUUAACUCACUCUUGUAAACUAGUUAACGUAGAUAUAUCUGUAUAUCUAGACAAAUUUAAAACAAGUAAUCUGGGAUGUAGAUAAUAUGUCGUAGUUGAACUCAAAAUUUUAUAGAACCAUCCAUAGUGUAUACAUCUCUUGUUUGCACAUCUCGGAAAUGCCUUAAAUUUUAACCAUGGUUUUGGUGGACGAGUGCAUCUUGUGACUUGACACGUAUCGUGGAUCCUGCAGAGACCAUCGCCAAAGUGUGACAGCCGCUGACGGGACUGGAAGAGGAAUGGUGUAUAACUUGGCUUAUUUGGAGCUCCCUAAAUGCGCGUCUUGGAGCCUUCCUGGUAAUACUAUUCAAUUGAUCGGCUCAAAAAAUGCAAAAUAAACACAAUCGAUGGAUAUAAAUUGAGUAAUGGUUACGGACCUAAGCCUAGCUACAUGCACUUUCCAAUAUACGAUAAAAGUGUUUCUUUUAAUAUCUUUGCUCCAGGUUUUAAAUAUUUGACCAAAACUAAGACUAAAACUUCAUGUUUUUUGGACUCAAAUUACUUUCACCGAGGGUGGGUUGCAGACAUGUACUCUUAUCUUGCUUUCAACCACUACUUUCUGUUAUAAUACAAUAAAAAAAUCAUAUAAAUCCGUACAUGUGCGCUGAAAAUAAGAUUUGAGAAAAUAUGCACAUGAUUCAUCGAAACACAUUAAUUUAAUGAUGGGUGAGUUAGCUUGCAGUUUGGCACUAGACGGAAUUCAUUAAGAUUGGAUAAAAUUUCCGUACUCAUUUAACUAUGAUUAACUGUAGGUGGGUUGUGUGUGCUGCAUGAGCUGGAAGAGUUGGGCUCUUUCUCGUCUGACAAGACUUCCGAGAUUUCUAAGCCUGGCCGUAGUGAUGAAGAGUUUAUUAUGGUGGGCUCAACGUAAGAGUUUAAUUGUACAAUUUUUGGCGUUGUACUCUUAUUUUUAUUUAAUGAAAUACACACAGCUUUCUUGCAUGGUUCAAAAAAAAAAUUUGUGAACCCCCUCUCCCAUCCCCAGUGGCCGCAUCCUUUCUUUCUUUUUAACGAAUCCAUAUUUCAGGUUUCGCAUGGAUGCACACAAUUUGGUCAAAACGGGUUGUGGCUCAGCUAAAUCUGACCUCAGUGUUGGGUUGAUUCUCUACACCUUGGUCACACGCGAUCACAAAAUUAUAAAUAAUGGUUAGUAUUCUAACUUUUCAGUCAUCACUUCCAUUUGAGAUUACCAUGAUUAGAGCAUGGCUAAUAGUAUAGCCAACUGCUGGAUAUAUGUUGUUAUCAUCUCAUAUAUAACCAAUAUUAGCCAGCAUGUGUAGUUGUUAGCUUCACUUUAUUAAUACCUAACCCACCUCACACUCUGACAAGUUUUGAAGCCCCUGUUGGAGCUGGCUCUUAUAAUUCAAAGUCUGCUUUCCUUCUCUCUCCUUCAACUCGGCAUAAAUAUAAUAUUUUAAAUCCUUAUAGCAUGCUUACAUCAUCUUAUCACACCUGUUCUGGUCAUAAUGCAAGUAUCAUAUAUAUUAGUAUCAUACAUAUGAUACUAAUGCAUAGUAUAUAUACUUCAUAGAUUGGUAUCAUAGUGAUCUCAUUUAUUGUCAUGCAUGACACAUAUGCGACAUAAUUUAAUAUGAUAUGGUAUCAUAUGUUGAUACCCAAUCCUCUUUUUCCUCAGUUAAUCGCGUGUCACCUCAACAAAAAGUCUAGUUGGCAUACAUGUCCUACCUAUGAUACUCUCAUUGUAACUAGUCUUAGUACAUAUGAAGAACUAAUCAUAUCCAUGACCACUCUACUUAAAUGUUAACAUAUAUACUAUGGCUUUGUAAUUGUUAGCUACAAUUGUACUUAUUGUUUUGGAAAUUGGAAGCUUUCAUUAUUAUGCCUCUGCAUCAAAUAAUCAUACAACCUAAUUGUAUUACAGCUUUUGUUGCAACCGAUAAGAAACAGGCAAAUUUUAACAUGGUCCCUCUUACUCCCUCUUUUUACAUAUGAGGUAAGAAGGUAAGAGUUAAUCAGGCCACUAAUUAAUGUAAUCGACGGCUCUGAUCUAUUUUAUACUCUUACCUCUCAUGUGAAAAGAGGAGGUAAGAGGGACCAUGUUAAAACUGCUCAAAAAGACAGUCAUAGAGAAAAUUAAAUGAGCACAAAAAAAGUAUAAUAAUAUGAAAUUUAUGCACACCAUAUGUUCUCAAACAAGAUCACACAAUUUAAUUGGCAGUGAACACGUGGAAAUGAACACCAUCACUCGAGACAUAGCAUUAAAAUUAGCCAGUUAUGGGAAAGAAAUUAAGUUAUAUUAUUGUAUUGAUAUAUUGCAGCACCCCUUGGUAAGCCUCACAGUUCUGAAUGCUCAAGGAGACUUGAAGUAUACACUAAUGAUGUAAGCGUAACCGAUAGACAAAAAGGAGAAAAACAUGACGGGAAUACAUUGAAGAGUACUGACGCUCGACUUGCCUUGAAGCGGAAGUCAUGCAAGAAUGACCUUGUGUCCAAAGGAAAUCAUGCACAUCCUGAUAAUGGUUUUGUUACUGAUUCAUCGGGUGAGACAUUUAAUCGUUCUCUUUUUGUUUGUCUUCAAGAACAAAUAGUCCAUAGUACUAGUAAAGCCUUAAACUGCCAUGUAAUAUAUGGUUCUGACGUUACUACACACUUUACCAGCCAAUUCCUAUGUGAUUGACCUUUUCGUCACUAAAUAUAGUUUAUAACAACAUGACUUUCCUAAAAGAUGUGCAGUCGGACAAUCAAACUACAACCUUUUGUUUGACUUUAAUGUUAACGCCCACAUGUGUGGCACGAAGCAACAUGACCCGAACGCCUUCAUUAUCAUUCAUUUUGCCACGUCAAAACAGAUGAUAUCAGCGGGAAUCUUUUUGGUUUUCGCCUUAAAAAUGUUUUAUCUUCUAAUUAAAAAUCCAUUUUCACCAUUAAAUCCAUCUAGACGAGAUUUAUAAAACUAGAUCCCAUGUUGAUAUGUUUCGACGAUUUUUUUUGCCAAAAGUUGUCAUGAUGUUUACACUAUAGUUGUCAUAGUGUUUACACUAAAGUUAACAUGAGAUGGCUUAUCUGUUUUUUUUAGAUUUAAAACUAUCGUUGUAUUUUAAACUACUUUUUACGACAAGUUUUAUUAAUUGACCAUGGCAAUUUUUAGUAAUUCACGGCAAAUUUAAUGCAUGGAUCAUGGCAAUUUUUAGUAAUCCAUCAUGGCAAAUUUAGUUUAUAGAUCAUGACUAUUUUAGUUUAUAGAUCAUGGCAAUUUUAGUGUUUUUGACCAUGGCAAUUCUAGUACUUGGACCAUGAAAAUUACUUUUUGUAUGAACCAUGGAAAUUUUAAGUGCAUUUAUCAUGGCAAAUUUAAGUAAUUCACCAUGGCAAUUUUAGUUUAUGGUUGGUUUUAUAAUAUGUCAAAAUUUACUUUUAAAAGUAGAAAAAAAAUAGCUGAAACAUAUCAUGACAACUUUAGUGUAAACACUAUGGUAAUUCAUGUGCAAUAUACAUGGCAACUUUUAACCCAAAAAAGGUUGUUGAAACAUAUUGGUGUGAGAUCUAGUUUCGAAGAUCUCGUCGCGAUGGAUUUAACGGUGAAAACAGAUUUUCAAUCAGAUUUUUCAUUUAAGAGAUAAAACAUUUUAAAAACUGGAAAUCCAAAAAGAUUCUCACAUGCAUGAAUGUGGUGACGUGGCGCAAUCUAUGUGUUAUAGGGUGUGUGGUCGUGUGUUGUUCACACCACACGUGUGAGCGUUAUCAGUGUCCUUGUUUAAUCACGAAAGAGAUAGUCACCUGACUCGGAUAUAAGUUGUUUGGCCAACAAUUACUCGACUAAAAUAUGUCAUUCUGUGAUAUAAAGUCACAAUCGUUAUUACUCUCCAAUAUAAUAACAUCAAUUUUUUUGUCACUUACACUACUCUGUCUAUAUGACAAAUAAGUGUUGUUUUGAACACUGAAAUUGUCUCAAAGGUGUAACUUUGACAACUAAUUACUAUUGAAUUGUAUGCACAAAAACCAAUAUAUUCUAAUACUCUGGAAGUACUUUUCAAGGCAAAUUUCGGCACAUGCUUUUCAGUUUUCCAAUCUGAAUAACUAAAAUUAUAUUUGUAAUCAUAAGUAGAAGUUUGGCAUAAAACAUGCCCAAAACAUUACGUAUUUGUGAUAAGGAUGAAGUAUAUAUAAAUACUGGAGAUAACUAUUGAUAAAUGUCUCAUCUUAGAAAAAUGAUGAAAACAUGUUACUUUUUUCGUGAAUACGCAAAGCUUGUGUAUUUUCCAUUGAUAGAAUAGAAUGAAAUGAGUACAAAGAAAAGGUACAACAUAUUGACACAAACACAAGUAGGCAUGAACAUGGUGCCUAGAGCAGUGGGCCAGGGAUGCUCGACCCAAAUAGAAGAUACAAUGCAGCUAAACCUAUGAAGCCCCCAUCUAGAGGGGCGGACCAAUCCAGCAUGAAAUCCAACAUCGCUCAAGCCAACACUAAGGACGGCACGAGCGACCAAGAUAUCGCCUUCAUGAAGGAAAACAACGUCGUGACACCGUCACCAUCCGAUCCGAAUAACCGAACCCAGGGUUUCCCCUUAGGUCGAAGAGGGGCACGGGAGGAGGCCAUGUCAGCGCCUCCAUGAAGGAAAACGACACCCAUGGGUGUCGUCGCUGCCAACACCAGCAAGCCGGGCAAAGAUUUCUCCUUGGCCAAAGCCUCAGUAGUCCCAACUCCCAAGCCACCAGGUACAGAAUCGGAGAAGAGGAUUCCACGGGUGGUCAAAACCUCCACGGCGGGAGGAGGGGUGGUGUGGCUGCACCUACCACCGGAGGGCGGCCCUGGGCGCCGCCGGACAAACGAGAGUUGGAACUAACACCAGGCAAGGCAUGGAGGUAUACAAGGUCGGGGAGGUGGUGAGGCAUAGAGAACCGAUGCAGGGGGUAGUGACGGCGUCCAGCGACACAAGCGAACUAGGAGCUGGAGAAACGUAGAUCCUAGGUGCCGGGGCCAUAGCCGUGAGGACACCGGUGAGUUGAAUGAGCUGGAAGGAGCGUAGACACCGGAUCGACGGGUCGGAGGCGCCGGCAAGCCACAAACACUGGAAAACGCGGGUUCGAAGCCGUCAGGGCCGGAGCAGCGCCAAAACCCACUGCGAGGCGCCAAGGUACAUCAUGCCACCAGAUCAAUGUGCCGCCGGGGCAGUCACUGCUGAGGAUAAGACCGUCGUUGCCUCGAGUAAUCGCCGUAAUGAGGGGCACCACAGAACACAAGGACGAAAGGUCCUCACUCGGUGCAGCGCCCGCGCUAAUCCCGAGCAGCGGCAACACCAGCAGCUGUUGAGCAUCACCGCUAGGGACGCGGGAGGCUGGACAGGAGGGGAGCAGCAGAAGCUGGGGGAGGCCACCAGCGCCGAAUAUCGGUGGCAUGGGAUGCGCGCGUUGGUGGGGACGGAGGGCAGGGGCACGCUGGAGAAGAAGAUGCCCCUCCGCCUGGGGAUGCCGCCCGCGCCGCCCACAAUCCAGAUCUCGUGAGGGAGGGAUGUAGCGCAGCGGCACAUCAGAUAGGAGAACUGCCCCACCGCCACCAUCCCGAGGUCCGCUUCGCUGGCCGGCCCUCCGGCGGCAGCGACGCGGGGGUGGGCAGCGGGAGGGAACCGGCCGGCAGCAGCUAGGGUUUCCCCCGGUUUGUCCGGAGACGCAGGGACCGGGUCAUGAAAACAUGUUACUCCGUGCAAAGAUAAAUAAAUUGCGCAGCUGUAUAACUUUUGUGCUAAUGCCUGAUUGCACACAGGUGAAACUAGUCUCAGCUUGAAUGCUGCAACUGAAACUCCAAUGCAUUAUCGGCCAGAGGGAGGACUCGUCCACAGGUAAAAUCUUCAUGUCCCUCCAAUCUGUGAUGUCAUGUGUUUUCAAUGUACUUGCUGGUAAUUUCUUUUUAACCUCGUUUGGAAAGGAUCACUCUGUAUCGUACUCGUAGUAGUACCCAAAAUUUGAGUACUCUCCUGCACAGACGCGAGUAUUCAAACGCGGGCCCAUGUGUACUGAAAAUACGUAGUGGAAAGUUAAUGGAGGUCAAAGCUAGAAAUAUUUGAAUUAUAGGAGUACUUGAGGGUUUAUUUGCAUUUUCCUCCCGAUAAAAGUGGGGAACCGAGCAGCGAGUCAGCGACUGCGGAACUCUUCGUGUGAUGGUGCUCCUGGUCGCCGGCUCCAGGUUCGCUACUUACUGCAACCUCGAUCUGCCACUGCCAUACAGGUUUUUUUUUUGUUUUUUUUAACGUCUGAUAAUCACCUCGGUUGCGGCCGGGGCCAAUCGCAUGAAAUUUCUCGAGCAAAGUUGCAAACCCCUUGGUUCUUCUUUUUCACUUUUAUGUAGUUUCCCCGAGCGAUUCUGGUUUCAAACCGUUUGUCUAUUUGGUUUUGAAUCGGAGGAGAUAGGAAGUUCAGGUUCUUCUAGAACUAGAUGAUGCCCGCGCGUUGCUGCGAGAAUUGGUUGCAAUAUAUUUUAAUGAGAUUUGAUUGUGUGGAAUAUAAAUUUUUAAAUUAACAACGCAUGAAUCAAAAUUAAAAAUACAUAUGACUUAAUAUAUUUGAUAAAAUAUUUAUUGAAUAUAAGCUAAACAAUAGAAUGAUAAUUAUUUUCCCAUGCAUGGUUGCAUGUGGUGGUGGGUCUUUAUGAUGCAUGGUUACAUGUUAAGGUGGACCUUAUUCCAUCCAUAAUUAUAUGAUGAUGUGGCAUGCUUGCAUGUUAAGAUAAAUAGUUUAGUGGGAUCAAUCUCUUAUGUACUUCCUUCGUUCCUAGUGGAAUCUCUCCAAAGACUUAUAUUUAGAAACGGAGGAAGUAUAUAAGAUAGGCUUCAUUUCUUUUCCAUACGAAUUUAACGGAAAUUAUUUCCAGAUGGGUCGAUGGGUGGUUUUUUUUUGUGCUGUAAGUCGGCGGGUGUUUCAAUUAACUCUGAGAAAUCUGCAGGAUAAUCUAUUCAUUUUAAUGUACAGAUGCAUUACAAUACCGUUGGCAAGUACUGUACUAUUAGUGAUAGGUUCCUCUGUUCGUAUUACGGUAUUAGCUCAUUCAUUUAUAGUGACAUCUCAUUCUCGUGUUAUGUUCAGCGGAGCACCUAGCCACCCUGCAGCUGCACAGGAAUCAGGCACAACACCACUGACCAAGACGCCCGGGGCCGCCUGGCUGGUUGCAUCUUCUGCCGCGAAUCACAUGACCGGCGACCUGAGCCAGCUGACGGAUUGCAUGCCCGCACCGGCCGAUCUCGUCGUCCAGGUUCCGAGCAUGGGACCAAGGCAAGUCCAAGACAUUGGGUCACUGAACACUCGGACAAUGUGUCUCCAGAAUGUGUACUACGUCCCUGGGCUCGACAAGAACCUGGUCUCCAGCAGCCAGCUCGCCAAACUUGGCUACACCAUCACCCUCGGUCCUUCGGAGUGCCGCGUCACCAAGAAUGAUCAGGGCCACACCCUUGUGGGGAAAGCUCAUUUCACCGAUGAUUACCUGUUCGAGCUGGACUUCCUCAGGGUUCCUCCCUCCACCAACUGAUGGUGCCCUGCCUGCCAUCUAUCGACUGUGUGGUCGUCACUGCCUACAUCAUAGAGGUUGGAGAGUAAUGAUGAAUAUAUGCAUACAUGCCGCAGUCUUGUUGUAAUAAUUACAUAUAAUGUGGAUGAUUAUGUCGUGAGAUUGGAGUGUUUUUAGAUAGUUACUGUGAUUUUCAGUACUCUACAUUCAUUAUACCCAGAACAUGCCAAUCUAACUACUCCUAUGUUGAAUCCAUGAAUGGCAUGUUUUGUUACAUGUUCAGUCUGUACUGCAAGAGGCUGUGUGUACUGGUCAUACUUCCCUUUUGCUGUUGGUUUGCUACAUGAAUGAUGCUGCCUAGACAGUAAUUAGCCUGGAGUGACUCUGGGUUUGAAGGUUUUCAUGGUUUCUAGCUUCUCUUGCGAACUCAACCUUCAUUUUGCAAAAUUGUUCCAUGCUGCUUGAAUCUCAUUCAGACAGGUUGUUAACAUUGGAACUGCUGGGUCUCGCUUAAGAAUGAGAUGUAGUAGUUGGAUUGGCAAGAACUUCCUCUGUUCAUUCCAAACAAUAUCACUCCAUUCUAUUCCUUUUUUGCUUUUUAAUCAUGACACAUGUAAACCGUCAUUUAGUUUGAUCUGUUACCAUGUUAUCUUACGAAGGGCCGUAGUCCGAUCUUGUUACCAUAUGAUAUUUCAGUGUGUUUAACAUUCUACCGCUGUCAAUUUGUUAUCGUAUCUAAUUUUCAGUCAGGUGUCGUCUUCGUUUUCUUAACUAGGCAUCCCUGAAUUUUUUGCCUGUUUUACCAUUGCUACUAUGCUGUCGUUGUUUAUGCAUCCAUCCUCGGCCGGCGAGACUCGCCUACAACUCUACUACAAGAUGUUGAGAUCACUACCAGUGAAUGCUUCUUGUAGCUGAAGAUUUCAGACAUGCCAUUUGAUUUUGGUAGUAAUUGCAAACGACCAACACAAACACGGAGGAAGCAUAUAUUUCUCCCCAAUGCCGUUAAGGUGAUCAGACUUAAAUAGUCACAGUUCAGUUCGACAAAAAAUACUGCCUCUGUUUCUACAUAUAAGCAUUUCAAUACGGACUGCAUAUGGAUGGAGUAGGAAAUAAGCUCCCGGAUCUACAAUACAAGCAAAAAUGAAAAACGCCAAAUCUUUCUGCUGCUGCUGCUACCACCCCCAGCAGCUGUUGUUGGCAAAUAGUUUUGCCACUUUUUUCUUUCCUUCUCCGGACUUGAGCAGAGAUCAACCCAGUAACAAACUUGACGAAUAAUAGGCUUACGGGGACUAGGACAUUGUCCCGGGAAACAAUUUCUUUGUCUUCCACAGGGUCCAAAUGAUUGCAGCAAAUCCCAACUUCCAUACUGUCACACAAACUGUGACAGAUUAUAUGUAACAGUUUGUGAAACCGACCAAACUGUGAAUAAUAGACACUUCUCUCUCAUUAGAGAAAGAGAGAUACAUGAGCACAAUUGCACAAAUACGACCAAAUUGGAUGAGACAGAAUACAUGAAUACAAACUGAGACCGCCAAAAGCAGAGUACAACUUCCGGUACGGCUGUUCUUGUAUUCAGAGUCUAUUAUAUUGUACUCACAUACAUAAAUACAUGAAAAGUGCUAUUAUUGUACUCAAAGGCAGGCUGUAAUAAUUUACCAUUCAGCAACAGUCUUCAUCCCUUUUUUGUUAGUGACUGCAAGAAAGUGCAAUCACAAUGAAGAAACUGUGUGGUCUUGUAGAUCAAGUCACAGACUAGUAAAUGGUUCUUAUAGAUAAGGUUCAGACAUAGCACACACUAAUAAUGCAAAUCAAGGAUAGCAGGGAAAUGACGACCAAUUAAACGAGAGAUAAAGGAGCACAACUACUAAUCCAGAGAUACAUGAGUACAAAACAGAGACUGAAGGAGAGUACAGAUUAGCUAGUGAGAUAAAAAAGCAUCAUAAUAAAGUUUAUUGCAGAGGAAUAUGCAUGGUAGUUUUCAAAGGAGAAGUGUCUUGAGAUGCUUUUUGAGGACACUCUUUUCUGUAUGUUCCGUGAUGAUCCAUACGAGGGUCGUGAGCUCGCCACCAUAGCUGAGCUGCUUGGCAUGAGAAUCCCUGCUGCACCGGAGGGACGCAAACAUGAGCAGACGCACCCACGCAUCCAGGAUGAACUCCAACAUGCCUUCUGUGCCCCCAGGAAGUUCAUUCGCCAAACCUGGAAUCCAGUGUGCAUGUCCUUUCAACAUAUGUUCCUCUGCUUUCAUAAUCAUUCUUUCACCAUACUUGGGCCGUGGACUUAGCAGCUUCCCAGCAAGUUGAGUUCCUGCCAAGAUGCAAAUACUAGCUGUGCGCUCGAGAUGAUUAGUAGUACUAACUACGAGGGUUCUAAGAUGAUCCUUGUGGUCCAGCAUCCACAUGGAAAGCUUCUCUUUCCCUGUAUAACCACUGGAACUAGAUUCCCUGGCCAGCAUCUUAAGCAAACUGAGGGUUGUUUUGUACAUGGUGUGGAACUUACGGCCUGGUAGCAUGUUGUGGUUUGCAGUGGCGAGGAACAUCAUGUAAUCUGACAACUCCUUGAUCCCCUUCACAUGUUCCUCGAGCACUCCUCCGAUGAUCUUCGGGCUGCACAAGAGGAAGAUGUCUGUGGCAAUGUGCCAGAUAAGAAUAACCUCUUGAAAUUCAGGAGGAAAGGACAUGUCUUCGUCUGACUGGUCAAUAGUGCGAGCAGCUUUCUCGUCCAUGUCAGGCCGUGCCCCAUCAUAGUUGGAACCGGUGUGGGCAUGCCUCCGUAGAUAAACUCGCUCAUAAGCUUCAGGAAGGGCUCGAUCAUACCUCCGGUGAUCAGUCUGUUGCUCAUACAGUUCAGGCAGGGCUUGACCGUACAUGAAAUUGGCGUGACCAAGGCUCCAGUGAUCAACUUGCUCGGAGUGAAUGGGCAUUGACUGUGCAGCUUGCACAUUUUGUUCCAGAUCAACAGGAGUGAGUCUCAUACCGACAGGGUCCUUCUGACUGGGGUCAGGCAGCCCAGGAGGAUCAUCUUCCAUAUUGUCGACAAACUGCACUGCAGGAGCAAAAAACUGUGUGCAUACGUGUUUUAACUUCAGCUCCCUGACAUAGUCUGGACUCCUAAGGCCGCUCGGCUGAUCUUCCCAUCCAAUCUUCUUCAGCAGUCCAAAUCUGCUGUAUAGGGUGUCCCAGCCACGAGUGCACUCAGACAACAUGUUGCGCCCCUGGAACUUGCCCUGCCACCUCCUGUAGCUUUUCGGUUCCUUUGCACAUUCACAUGUCCCCAACCACAUGGAGAGCCGGGAAAGACCCAGAGGCACGACAAACCGGCGGAGAUUCUCCCAUCUCUCCAGGCACCAAAAUUCAUGCUUCAACCAAUUGUUUUGCAUAUGUUUGAAGUAUGAAUGUGUCCAGGCUGACGUUACUGCACUGAGCAAGCAUCUCACAUCAAGGAGGAAGGUCGUCACCAACAAUACAUAACUGAUAACUGUAUCUUCCGUCUUCAAGGAGUUCUUCAAGCCCUCUUUGCACUGGAGGCCAAACAGCAGGAGCGCGAUGGCGGUAAGGAAUGGCGAGGCCAGACGGAUGGCGUAGCCAUGCCAGGUGUGGACUACGGCUGCCUUGGUGUAGAGGAUGUCAUACAUAAGGGAGAGUUCCAUCUCCACCACCUUGCACAUACUCUCCCAUCUACCAGAGAACAUGCUUAUGCCGGUUUUAUGAUGACGCAGGUCCACCGGAUAAUCGGAAAAGGCACCCUUGCAAAUAUCGAACAGGUCGUGAGCAACCAGCAGGGCUUUCUCAUCUUCUAGCACCUGCUCCCUGCCUCCACCAUAAUCAUCACCAAAGCUACUUGGGUGCUGCCGCUGUCGCUGCUGCUUGAAUGACCUCCAGAUGUAGCCCAAGUCGGCUCGCCAUAGCGCCACCCCACUCUCUAUAUACUUGAAAAUGCCCAAGAACAACAUGAUGCAGGAGGCCCAGCGCAACAAUCCGGUACUAUAGUCCGCAAGUAUAUACCUGCACAUAAGGUAGAUGGAUCCCAAGGUUUGAAAGGGAACAACUAUCGUUAGGCGCGCCGAGAGCCCACUGUCCCCCAUGCUGUAGGCGCUGAUGUUAUCAGGGCGAGCGUUGUGUAGCAAGAGGAACGGCACCCAGAAGGCGAAGAUCAUCUUCUUGCGCGGCGAGGUUUCGAUGUACAGGUUGCCCAUGAUAUAUGCUGGGGCCCAGUCGGUCAGCUGGUAUGCCACCCACACCAACCCUCUCCUCAAACUUCUGCUUUUGCGCCGGCGGAUGUCGGCGAAGACGACAAGGAUAAGAUGUGACGCUAAGCUGAGAAGCGCCACUGUCCGGUACAUCCAGUUGCUCCACCCAUCGACCGCCUGCUCUAUCCAUGGUCCCGCAAAAAAGCAUGUACUAGCCAUUAAGUGCUCCUGUCCUGCAUGCACCGAAAUUCAGAUUAGCUAUACUAUAUCAGUUUUUUUUUCAACAUGAGGAUAACCCCCGGCCUCUGGAUUGACCGAUGCACAUAGCCAUACACUAUAACUAGAUCAUAUAUAUGUGUAAAACAUCUACUAGUAGUAGUAUGUAGUCUAGCUAGCUGUUACUGUUAUCGAGAUGUUGCAUCCAUGCUAGAGAGAGGAUAAUAAGGAACAAAAAACAAGGAUCAAGUACAUACGUACCGGCAUGCACCAGCUAGCUAGGCAGAUCAAUGCUUCGACCUUCCAGUGGAGACAUGAGACAAGUGUUGUUCUCGAGUCCUGUCUCUAGAGAUGGGACUGGCAUAUGAGCAGUCCUAAGUUGAUCCACUAAUAGCUUUACCUGUAGAGAGCUAGUUAGGUUCAGUAUUGUGUUUAAACUUUGUACUGACCUGUUAAACUAUAGCUAUUGUGCAUCAAUAUUCGCUUGAAGUCCUAAGAAAACACAAGGUUGUCAGGGACGGUUUUCUUUGGCUGGGGUUGUUGUCGAUCUGAAUUGAGGAUGUCAGUGAUUGGCAGAUCCAGUCUGCAAAAUUUGUCCUACUUACUAGGACAGCUGAUCAACAUUGUUCAUAGCUCCACUUCCUAGUCUACACACUAGCUAGCAGCCAGAAACAAAAACUAAUGACAGUGGUAACCAACAAUCACCGAGGAAACCGGCAGAGUCACAUGCUUACACAUGCACUGAACUUUUUUUUUUGAUCAAAGAAGGACACAUGCACUGAACUGAAGCUCAAGAUGAUAAGUACUGUAUAUCUGACUGGCUAUCUAGUACUAGAAGGGAUUGCUUAUUUGUGCUAGAACAACAGAGAAAAUUGCUUAUUUGUGCCUCACAAACGCUCUUGGGAAUCCUACUCAGGCAUAUAUAUUUUUUCCAUUAGUGUCAAAUAUGCAAAAACAAUGUACUCCUAAAGUCUGGCUACUAAUCGUCCCCGUGCGAGGAAACAGAGAAAUUGAGAGAGCGCUCACCGAAAUCAGUGGAGUGGCGCUUCGACAUAUACAGGAACUCGGCAUACUCCUGCUCCCGGCCAUGCCGGAGACCGCGGCACACGAAAUCUUGAACAAUGCAAUGGAGAAGGGCGCAAAAUGCAAGGCCAUACCGCUGCCUUGCGGUCCUCCUCGCGGCCACCGGCCAGCCGCUUCAGGUCAGGGACCGAGCGCGGAAGGGCGCCGCCGCCUCCUCGAUUCCCUUCUCGGUGGUCGGCUCGGCGCACGCGGUAGAGGGUGGUGUCCUCCUUGGCCUCCCCUACAGGAUCCGGUGCCGCCGUACAGGGGAGGUGGGCGAGAUUUUUCUUUCUUUAGGAUCUGGAGGCGGGCGCGAGUAUGACUUGCUUGUAGCGAGACAGAAGCGGACGAUAAUCGGUCGGCCCGCUGGUGAUCCACAACCUCAAAACAUAUACUCCCUCUGUAAACUAAUAUAAGAGCGUUUAGAUCACUAUUUUAAUUAUCUAAAUGCUCUUAUAUUAGUUUACGGAGGGAGUACUCCGUAACAAUGUAGUAGAUCCGGAGGGAGUAUAUGACACAAUGUUAAACGUGUAUAUUUUUUUAUGAUUUAUAUAAAAAAUGUAUAAAACAAAAUAUAUAUUUUGAAAAAGUUUGUGCAGUGUUAAAAAAAUGUUCGUGCAACUUUUGAAAAAUGGUGAUAGCAUUUGAAAAAAAUGUUUCAACACGUAAUUGAAAAAAUGCUUAAUACUCCGUAAAGAAAUAUAAAAGCGUUUAGAUCACUACUUAUAUUCCUUUACAGAGGGAGUACAUAUGAGAACAACAAUGUUCAAAAACACGUGUUUAAAAGAAUGUUCAUCAUGUACUUGAAAAAUGUUAAACAUAUACUCUAUAUCUAGGAACGGAGGGAGUAUAAAAUAAAUGUUAAUGGGACUGAGAGAGUAGCAUAUACUCCGUCUCAUAUUAAUUGUCGCUCAAUGAAUGUAUUUAGACGUAUUUUAGUGCUAGAUAGAUCAGAUUGAGUGUUAUUAGUAUAUGAGACAGGAGGGAGUAUAAACUAAAAGUAGUAGUGAGUUAUGCGAAAGUGCUAUUGUGAGCUCGAGCUCACAGGCACCCUUUGCUACAGUACAAACAAAAAAUAUAUUUAAAAAGUUCAAAAAAAUCUGAAUUUUUUUGGCAACAAACAUUGAUAUAAUUUUCACAUGCGUACAAAUUUUCAUGACAAAAUGACAUUCAUGCAGGUCUCAGCAAAAAAAACAAAAUCGAUGCUCCAAAAUGCUUCCAAAAACAGUUUUUUUGGAGCAUGAUUUUGUUUUUUUGCUGACACCUCCACAAAUGUCAUUUCAUCACGAAAAUUGGCACGCAUGUAGAAAAAAUAUCAAAGUUUCUUGACAAAAAAGUUCAGAUUUUUUUGAAUUAUUUUACUAUUUUUUUGGAUUUUACUGUUCAUCCGGGAUCACUGGUGCCCGGGAUCAAUUCCUCCGCGUCCUGAGUUAUGUGUCUUUACGGGAGCUGCGUACAAAGGCCAAAUCAGCAGGGAGGUAACAGCCACAGAAGUUUGCGCACUAAAACACUGUACUAGGACCCAGAAGGCAAGAAUGGUAGCAGGCCACUUUGAAGAUGCUCCCGCCGCAAUCCACGCCCUCUACUUGCUGCACCUGCUCCAGGGCCAGCCCCAGCACGAGCAAACACACGAUCGCACUCUCCAGGCCCCUCUUGCUUCCUCCCAUGGCUCUCCUGCAGAAGGCACGAGUAAUAAUGGGGGCUUUGGUUCAAGGGCUUCUGAGACUAGAUUUGGAUGGCUACUAGUAUCGAUUUUUUAUACUAGGAGAUGAUGGUCGUGGGAGUGUGUACAUGAGUACUGGUUGUUGCACGUGAAACCAAAGCAGAACGGGAUAGUUUCUUCUUCCAGACGGGAUAAAAAGUUGGAUCGACGGCGCGCGCGGACAAAGUUGUGACCUGGGCGCACCUAUCCAGUAGGGAUGUUACGUGCACGCCGGCGCGUUUUUUACUACAUUCUAGUAUUUCCUUCAUUUUAAAUAUAAGUUUUUUUAUAGAUUUCAACAUAAAUUACAUGCGAAGCAAAAUAAGUCUAUACUAUAAAAUACGUUCAUAUACAUUUAUAAUUUUAUAUAUAACUCAUAUUGAAAUCUCUAAAAAGAUCAGGCUGUAUUUGGCAGCUCAGCAUUUUUGAAGUUUUCCAAGGAUAACAUGGUUUUGAAAAAAAAAUAUUGGUUUUAAAUAUGUUGGAUUAUAGAUGGGCUUAUGCCCAUACAAGACAAUAAUCCCUGGCUAAUCUCUAAGGCUCACUUAGAUGCAUGGCAAAUGAUGGUAAGUUUAGUACCAUACUGCUAGUAGAGUGAGAGUGAGACCCCUUUAGAAGGGACGCUCUACCACAUGUCAUUGGAAGCUUGGGAAGAGGAGUUGUACAUGCCCACUCCUCCUCCUCCGCAAGCCUCGCGUCGUCACGACGUGUGCGCGCCAUGGGUUGCCGGAACGAGCCGAAGCUUAUUUUUGCCAGUCAAAAAUGAUUAAUUAAUCGCAGAUUAAUUGACGAGCCGCUAAGUAGUGCCACUGUCCAAGACGUCAGAUCGUGGGCUGCUCGCGGACUCGGUCAUGGGCCAAGAACAAACAAAAAAAGAAUUGGCUCAAAUAAAAGAAGCAUUGCGAAUUAGUAGAAUCAAUGAAAAGAAGGAUUUAGAACGUGAAAAUGCUUCGGCUGAAAAGGCCGAAUUAAGUAGUAUAUAUUCUAAAUUCAUCAAAUCCAAAGAGGCAAGCAUUAUUGAGAAAGGGCAUCAUGCUUGAUUUUUCUGAAGUUAAUGGAACCUACUUCCAGCCCUAUAAGUUUCGUGCCAUAGAAGUUGACGAGCUUCAAGGACAACAACAAGUAGCUGAACAAAGUUCGGUUGACAAAGAUCUUCAAAGUAAUUAUGCAAACAAUCAAGAAAAAGAUGAAGACAAGGUGUUGGGGAGUCAUCCAAAAGCGGAGCAAGAUAUUAUUCAAGUCAUGCAACCAUUAUGCUCUCCCAACCUAUUUCAAGAGGUCUCUAGCAAGUAAUGACCUAUAUUAAGAUUUGGUCAUAACUUUGUUGUUGAUGCAUCUAUUAAAAAAAUCCUUAUAAACAAUCUUGAGAGACCAAUGGGGAAGGGUAAUUUAUUUGUUAGCAAUAAGAUUGUUACAAAGCAUAUCGGUCAACAUGUUGUGCCAUUUACAAUGACCGAUAGUGACUUAUUAUUGCAAUCAAAGUUGUCCCGAUUGGUUUAUUUUAAAAAAAUGAAUGGAUUUGCUUGUUUCAUACUUGGCUUACAUUUGGUCUCAAAUGAGACAUGUAUGUUCUAACUAUUUCGGUUUCAAAAAGAUGAAGCCAAGUUUGAAUUAUGUUGAGAAACCCGAUGGUAGUAUAAUUUCUUAUUCAAAACAUGUACAGAAAAUUGUUUCUAAUGUAUAGGUAAAAUAUACAACAUGUAUGAAAAAAAAACAUCAAAACAUAUAUAUGAAAAAAGGUUAAACGUGUAUAUAUUUUAUGAUGUAUAUAAAAAAUAUAGAUGGUGUAUGAAAAAUGUAGACAUCAAAAUAUAUUUUUUGAAAAAAUUUGUGCAGUGUUAAAAAAGUGUUUGUGCAACUUUAAAAAAAUGGUGAUAGCAUUUGAAAAAAAUGUUUCAACACGUAAUUGAAAAACUGUUUAAUACAUAUGCGAACAACAAUGUUCAAAAACACAUGUUUGAAAAAAAUGUUAAUCAUGUAUUUGAGAAAUGUUAAACAUAUAUAAAAUAAAUGUUUCAGAUGUAUACGAAAAAUGUACAAUGUGUCUGGCACAAAGUAGAUAUCAAAACAUGUAUUUGAAAAAAUGUUAAUCAUGUAUUAAAAAAUUAAACUUCUAUAAUUUAUUCUCUUGAUGUAUACAGAAAGUAUAGAUAUCAAAACUUGUAUAUUUAAAAUAAUGUUAAUCAUGUAUUUAAAAAAUUGUUAAACUCAUAGAACAUCUUUUUUCCCCAACAAUUCUAAUUUAUACAAGCUUUUGGAUAAAUAUUUAUCAAAAAUGUUCGCCUGUUUAAGCGCAAGCGACUAGUUAUUGGCUAAUGGUAGAUGGAGACAUGGUGAAAAUACGGAAGACUGCUAGACACAUGCAUCUGACUAGGGACUAGGGCAGUUACUUCUAUGCAUCGAACAUGUCCUUGAAUAUUGCAGAAAAUGGGCGGUUCCAUCUGAAGUAGUAGCCUGGACUUGUUUGGUCGAUGCCAUAAAUAUCAACUAAAUAUUUUCCUCUUCGAAAAGGAGGUAACCCUCUGCGUAUCAACAGAAUACUGCAGAGAAGUGUUCACUGAAAAUGCGGAAAACAAGAUACAUUUCAUGGUUUACAUCACAGACAUCAAACAACUUGAGGUCAAGCCUAAAAUAAAUAAUUCAAAGACCAAAGAAUAUUACGUGAGGCAUAUGCUCAUAGAGUUUAUAUCCAUAAAUGACACAACAUAUAUUAUUAUAUCUCAAUCAUGGCAGUACAUGAAGCAGGCAUCAACAUGGCAUCCACCAUGAUAUCUUUUAUUGGAGCAACGAAAGAAAAUACACACAAGCACAUAAACAAACUGACACGCUGGUUUGGAUACUCUCGAUGGGAUCCUGUUUUAUUGAACUCGAUGGUGAGACAUAACUUUGGCCUGUGAAAUCUCAGACCAAGCAUAUGCAUUAUUAGUCAUCAAGGGAUGCCAAGAGAGUAUCCCCCUUACAGAAACUGUCACAAGCAUCACCGCAGCGUUUCACAUAGAGCUUCAUCUCUUCAGUGUUGUCAGCUGGUGCCAAAACAGGAUAGUAUGCGUCAAGAACUAACUUUUCAAUUAGUUUACAUGUACAAAUGAAACAUAAAUAUACUCAGAUGGAUUCUAUUUACCUGUGCUGAUCACGUUGUCACACACAGAAGACCUGCAUCCCAAGCUGCAAUACUCAAUGGCGUUUGGUUCAUCUGCCAAAACGAAGUAGAUCUGAGAUAAACAAUUCCUCGGUUACAAUAUGUCGAUGUUUUGUGUAUUGGGAUGGCCUCUAUCAUUCAUUCUCUAUUAGCUAUUUUCACAAUAAUUUUUGGUAGAUGUUUGUUAGCAUUAUGAAAAAUCAUUCAUGUCAAAUCUUAUCAUACAAAACAUCAGCUAACAAAUUCAGAACAGUUUAUUACAGUAUAUUAAUAGGUAAACUUGGAAUUUUGUUAAUUUGACAUUACACAUUUUUAGGAUCACAUCUACUUUGAAAAGGAGAAAGUAUAUAAAUUAGAAGUAGCGAGUUGUCUGUCUUUACCGGAGCUGCGUAGAGAGGCCAAGCCCGCGGGGAGUCGACAAGCACAGAAGUCUGCGCACUGGAACACUGUACUAGGACCGAGAAGGCAAGAAUUGAAGCAGGCCACUUUGAAGGGGUUUGCGCCGCAGUCCACGCCCUCUACUUGCACCUGCUCCAGGACCAGCCCCAGCACGAGUAGGCACACGAUCGCACUCUCCAGACCCUUUUUGCCUCCUCCCAUGGCUAUGGCUGCCGGGCUCUCUUGCAGAAGGCACGAGUACUAAUGGGGGCUUUUGGUUGAAGGACUGAUGAGAUUAGAGUGAGCUCGAUGGGCUCCUGGUAUCGAUUUUUAUACUAGGAGAUGAUGGCCGUGGGAGUGUCUAGAUGAGUACUGGUUGUUGCACGUGAAAAACCAAAGCGCACCGGGGCCAUAGUUUCUUUUCUUCUCCCACACGGGGCAAAAAGUUGGAUCGAUGGCGCGCGGACAAAGUUGGCCGGAGCCGACGACGACGACGGUGACGGUGUUGUGACCUGCACGAAGCUAUCCAGUAGGAUGUUACAUGCAAGCCGGCGAGUUUUUUUUUACUACAUUUCUAUAAAAAUAUACUCGUAUAUACGAUGAAAUGCGUUUUUGACGUGAGCUACACAAACAAAAUAAAGUAAUGUAUUUUGGCACAAGCACAUUUUGUUUAGAUUUUCUUUUGAAACUUUAAAAAUCCGAUUUCACUCUAGCAGGUCCUAUUUUGUUGCAGCAUGCAACUAUGGGGCGGGGUUUGGACAAAAUACAAUUUUUGUCAAAAUGACAUGUGUGCCUGGGAAUAGAGGGGGAGUGCCCGAAAGUGCCUUUCUGCUCCCGAGCUCAUUUGAGCUCGGUGAACAGUAAAAUCGAAAAAAAAAUUCAAAAAAUUCCAUUUUUUUUGUGAGAAGCAUUGACAAAAGUUCUAAGUGCUUGCAAAAAUUCAUCAUGAAAUCACAUUCCUGUAAGGCGUGGCAAAAAAAAAACAAAUUCAGUGCUCCAAAAUGCUUUUGAAAGUAGCAUUUUCAGAGUACCGAUUUUGUUUUUUUUGGCACGCCUUCUAGAAAUGUGAUUUCAUGACGAUUUUUUGCAAACUCUUAAAACUUUUGUCAAUGUUCUCCCAAAAAAAUAUUUGGAUUUUUUUGAACUUUUUUUAUUUAGUUUUGAUUUUACUGUUCACCCGAGCUCAUUUGAGCUCGGGUGCAGAAACUCUGCGUCCGGGAGUGUCGUAUUAUAUGCCAACGAAAUACCUUUUCUUUUUUGUUGGGAACGAUACGUGCAUGCCAGAAAGACAUCUCUUUGCUGUACACAUGUGCAUGACUUUGAGGUUUGAGCUGGCGAUGUAUAUCAAACAACGUGUGACCAAUGUCACCUUGGUUUUUCAUGUGCAAGAUUUGUAGAUUGCUGAUCACGCUUGCCGCGGGAAGUUUUUCGUGUGUAGAUACAUGGCUCUAUAUGACAUCUAAACUAGAGCUUUGUUUUUUCCCCUAUACUACUCCUAUCUUUAACUUUAAGAGAAAAAUAUACUUUUCAUCUCUUAACUCUUGACAAAGUCUAGAUUUAGUCCUUUAACUUUAAAACCAGAUUAGUUGCAUUAUAAACUUUUAAAACCGGUAAUACUAUUUUUUACAAAGAACAAUCCUACCUUGUUUACACGUCCACUGAAUGCACCAUUGUAAAUUACUUUCACUUUUACAAGCAAGGCAGGAGCUCUAUCGAUUUCAUUAAGAGAGAACUAAUUCAGAGUUGACCGGUUUAAAAGAAAAACAAGGCUGAAAACCAACAUGAACCAACACCGACACCAACACAAACAUGCCACCACCACCUUACAUGACCACAAUCUGGAGCGAUAGUAAGCAAGAUUUUCGAUGACGACUUCAAGAAGGAAAAACAAUGCCCGAGAACGCCGUCCUCACCGGCAUCAACCCCCAUCAAUCAAUAAGCUUUCGCAUAGACCCCUGCAUGACCGCCCCGCCAAAAAUUGGGAUAGAUCAAUCCUAGCCAUUAGGUUCCGAUGCCACUCCUCGCCGACCAGUCACAGAUUAGCGUGAAGAAGUACUCUUCGACAAUAUAGGAGGAGGACGCCCAUGGGCACCAACAUCACGGGCAACGACCCCCGACCAAGAACAAGGCUUUCGCCCAGAGUAUUAUGCCUCCCCGCCUCUUAUCCAAGGUAGGGGCCAGGCCCCUGCGAACAUCAACAACGGCGAACCAAACCAAAAGGAAAAAGAAACGCCGCGGCCUCCACAACACCAUGGAGGGCUGCCUGCAUAGGUGUUGGCACCACCACCACCAUUACUACGAGUAGUCUUGAAGCCACAAUGCAGCAACCGCCUCGCCUCCGCGCUGUCGACGAAUGCCAACCUCGCCGCCAACUAACGAUCUAGCCUGCUGCCCGUGCAGCCGCGACCAAAGCACACCAACGACGCCCACCACCAACACCAGUGUGCUACCACUCGCCACGCGCCGCACUGCCGCACCCAUCGCCGCUUCUACGCCGUCCGGUAGAGGAAAAAGUGCAGCUGUGCCGUCACCGACCCCAAGAGGUCACCUCCAAAGACGGAGCAGCAGAUCAGGCGCUGCCCCGAUCUGAGCCCUUUGAGCCGGCGCGCGAGCAACCACCGCCACGCAGCACUGGGGUCUCCCAGACAGAGUUUAUACCCACAGGCAAAUGAUACAACAUACACCAUUAUAUCUCAGUCAUGGUAGUGCAUCAGGGCAGCAACAUGGCAUCCAUCAUGAUGGCUUUUAUUUCGAACAAGGAAUGGACAUACACACACAUAAAACAGGGUGACACACUGGUUUGGAUACUCUCGAUGGGAUCCAAUUUUAUUGAACGCAAAGGUGAGACACGACCUUGCCCUGUGAAAUCUCAGACCAUGGACACGCAUCAGUACGCAUCAAGGGAUGGGAGGCCAGCAUCACCGUUACAGAAACUGACACAAGCAUCAGCACAAUUUUCCACAUAGAGUUUCAUCUCUUCAUCGUCAGCAGCUGGUGCCCAAAUAACAUAUUAUGUGUCAAUAACUAGCCUUUUUCAUCAAUUAGUUUACAGGAAUGCAAAUACAAGAUGAAUUUUCUUUACCUGCGUUGACCAUGUAGUCACACACGGAAGACCUACAUCCCAAGUUGCAGUACUCAAUGGUGUCUGGUUCAUCUGUCAAAUUAAAAUAUAUAGCGUGUAAAUAAAAUCCUGUCCGAAACAAAUAAUUCCUCACUUACAAUAUGCUUUGGAUAUUCACAUGGCCUCUAUCAUUCGUUCCUUGUUAGUUAUUUUUCCUAUUACUUGUUGGUAGAAAAUCGUGAAAGAAAAACUUGUGGAAAAAUAUCCAUGGCAAAUCUGAUCAUCUAACGCCAUCUAACACAUUCAAAAUACGUUAUCAUAUUAGUAAGAAAACUAGGAAAUUUUAACUUGACUAUAUGCUUAUCAGAAUGACAUCUAUUCUAUUUUAAAAAAAGAGGUAGUAUAUAAAAUAGAAGGAGUUCAUUCUCUUUACCUGAGUUGGACUCAAGGGCCAAUUUAGGGAAGCCUUUAGGGCAGCUUAGGCCACUUGAGAUUUUACACCUACAGACGCCUGCGCAUAACUUCUGAGCACCACGGGCGCGGCAAAGGUUGUAGCAGUUUCUUCCCAGGGUGCUCCUGCAGCAGCUCUUGCCUUCUACCUGCAGCUGUUCCAGAACCAACCCCAGUAUGAGUAAACACACUAUCACACCCUUGAAG